UAAUCUCCCCUCAUGGGAUUAAUAAAGUAUGUCAAAUUUAAAAGAAGAAGUUUCUAGUAGUUGUCUUUUGUCAGCUUAAGUGUUUUUUCUUUUCUCUUACAGACUGUUUGCUGCAAACCAAACUCUGUCUGAACAGUCUGUCCACAUCCUUUUAGAGAGAGGUCUAACUGCAGUCCAAGGAGGGUUCAUGUUCUCCAGAGACGUGCGGCACGGCUAUACAAACGUAGUGCGUCCCACUUUGGAGCAGAGUUUGCAGAUGCAGUCGCGGAUAAAGGCCUCUGUUCUCGUAGUUUUAGCAGAUAAAGGUUUGCCCACUUUUCAUGAUUCAAAGCAGCAGGAAAAAAUCUCCAUCCUUCUCCAGAGAUAUCGUGACAGAAAUCACUCAGUGGUAACAGUUCCAGGAGAUCAUCACGUCCAUCUGAAUAAUCCUGAAGUUGUCGCACCGCUUAUUUUCCGACUUUCUGCAGACUAAAGUGAUCCCUCAGCAUCUGUCAGGAGUGUGAAACACACACAGGCACACACACACACACACACACACACACACACACACACACACACACUAAAUAACACUCUUUAAGUCUCAUCAAAUUGUCCUCCCCCCUCUCAGUGCAUUUAUGCAAACUGAUGAAUUACUAUUUGAAGAAAUCUGAGAAUUCUCUUCAGUGCCUUUGAGUAGUCACACCUUAAUGUUCAGUCAGCAACACUAUUCAUUCUAUGUGUGUGUUUUCUUUAUUCAGCCACGGUUUCAAAUGUCCUCGUUGCUAAUAUCAGAGUAUUUCUGUGUUCGAGGCUGAUCUGUUUGUCUCGGCUGCUUUUUAUGAAUCUGAUGCUUAAAUUUUCAAUCAUUAAAAAAGAUCACCCUCUGACAACUUCUCAGUAUGUUGGACCGUCCUCUUUGUGUUCACCCUUUUUUCUUACUCUACGAACCAGGAAGACUAAAAGUAUUUUUUUUUUUACCACCCUUUAACUGAUGGGACUGACUCUAUAAAGACUGAAGCAGAUAUGAGCGGUGCCACUCACACAAAAAAUACCCUCUCGUUCUCUCCCAUUCUCUCUCUCAAUGUCACAUAAACGGUGUGACGGCCUCGGUGUUAAAUGGAGUGGAAUUGAUUUUACGCAGCGAGCAGAAAGGCGGCAAGCAUCCAGAGACAUCUGAAGGGCUUGCCCCCCCUCCUACUCCUCCAAAAAAGAAAAAAGAUUAUAGUUAUAUAAGUUUCCCUCCCUCCCACUCCCUCCAUCCUCUCAGCCAGCAGCAGGGAUGUUGCCAUAGUAACCCCCCACCCCUCGGUUUUUUAAACGUCAGAGCGAGGAGCUGGAGGAUGAAGCCGCAUGCAGCUUCUGUCUCUCGUGCCUCUCAGAGAGCACCUGUGAUUUUGGACGUCUCGCGUUCAACAGUCGGAGGCACGGCGCUGGGGGAAAUCUGAUGAUUGAUUCGAGUCUCGGGCUGCUGCACAUCACGUACCACCAAACACAGAAAGACUUACUGAUUCUGCAGCACUGAAA